rnacentral:lncRNA from 1 species
GCCACACGAAAUUCAAAUAUUAUAAUAAGGCAUUGUCCAAUAAUAGGAUAGCAAGGUGUGCUGGAAAAAAAAAAAUGCCAGGCAUUGAAUCCUUCAAGCCAUAGGGAAGAUUGUUCACCUUCAGGCUGGGAAGAAGUUCACUGAAAUGUAGUCAGUGAUAAAACUUGAUGCAUUGGCCUGCCUUGAUGGAAGACAGCCAUUUACAUACCUGCUACCUUCCUCUUUUUUUUUUUUUUAAGAAUGGCCUUUCUCCCUGGUAUUCUUUUAAUUUGGUCCAGCCUUGCCUGUACACUGGCUUUUUGCCUGCUUGUCAGAUGUUUUAUAUGACAAGCUCCGGACUGUGACACAGCCUGCGUAUUUUGCCUAUGCUUUGAAUUCCUAGACGCUCUGAGUGUGAGCAUAUUGUAUAACUUUAAAGAGAUAUUUCUCAUCUGCAUGUUGUAGUUGUAACAGUUCCAAAAGAACCCCCUGUUUGGUCUCUGUUGUACUUAGCAUCUAGCUCACAUUUUUUGGGGGAACACAUGAAAUACAUUUGUCUUCUCUUGGAAGUUUGUGCACACAUGUGUGCUGCACAGAUCCCAUCAGCCCCAUUAUUAGUUAUUGUAUAAUAGCAAAUUGGCAGUGGCUAAGAUACUUCUCAUCGGCACGGUUCCUGAGACUGAAUUCACCAGCCUUGCUCUGCCCUUGUUGAGUUUGCAGCUUGACAAUUGUGUAAUUAUUUCCAGCUGUUUAGUGCUUUGUUGCCCUUUCUUGCUGCUGUCUGGCGUUUUGUAACUAAUUCGGGGGAAGGUGAAUUGGUGCUUUCAGUUAGGGUCCAGGGUGGGUAUUUAUCUGCUCUAGUACUGGGGUUUGUCAUCUUUCACAACAGGGGCUGUGAAACACCCAGGGCUUUGGGUUGCUUGGCAGAUACUUUCAGGAGUGACCAGAAGUGUGAAUGAGAUGCUUUAGGAAGUACCUUUAAGAAACCUCUGAGCCACGCUGAUCUCCCAAAUGUGACUGCAUUCUUUAAAAUGGUGAAGAACAUUGCUUCAGAGCAUCCAGCUGUAGUGAGAAAGUGGAGAUGCUCUGAGUGUUGGAGACAAAGCAGCACUUGGAAAAGUAAGGGUACCGUCACCCUCCUGCUUAUUUUCAAGUUUCUGGCCACUUGCAUUAGGACUUAUUUCCUUAAACCAAAACAGCACACAUCUAUCCAUCUCCUCUCUGUAUUCUAACAAUUGAGGUGCUUUGAAAGUGAGUUAAAAAAUUCAAUUGGAAAAUGCAUUAACACUGUGUUAAGGGAAUUCAUGGGUGACAAUACUGGGUUGCAUAAUAGACCGUAAUUUCAUUUGUAAGGUGCGGGCAUUUACAUUUGAUUCUCAGUUAAGGAAAAAAAAAAUGUAGCAUGUGUUAUGAUAUAAUUUUAUGUAUUUAUGUAGUUUUCUAACCAGAACUUCAUAUUAUGAAUCAAAGUAGCAUGUUUGUUUUUAGAAAUGGAAGUCUGUCUGCCUUCUCUUCUCUUCUCUUCUCUUCUCUUCUCUUCUCUUCUCUUCUCUUUUCUUUUCUUUUCUUUUCUUUUUUUAUCCUGGGCCUAAACUUUACAAAGUAAUUACUGUGAAUAUAAGUGAAAGAAGAAUUGGCCAUCUACUUUGGGGUGUUUGGAGACUGGGAGACCUGCCAUUUUGGCAACAUGCUUUGUUAGGUAAUGUGACUUGCAGUCUAAAGUAAACACUCAUGGGUAACACUGUGGUUCACUGCCCUACAGGAUCAGUGUCCUGGAUGUUCCUGUGUUUGGUGCUGUGGUUCUCCCUCCUGUAGCUUAGGAUGCUCUAGUAGGUCUUCUAUGCAGGCUUGCCCAAUUAGCUUCCUCUAUUUGCCUUAGUUGAACAUGGGAAUAGCAAUCUAUUCAUUUCAUUUGCUGCAGGCAUUUGGAUCUUAUAAAGCACAGGGAGUCAGAGAGUUUUUAAAGUUAUGUGUCUGGGCUGUAGAGUGGAACAUGGGAGGGAUUCUGAGCAGUUUUGGGGUUGUUAGAGGCCCUCUGAAGUCAAGUGCCAGUGUGCCCCUGUGUGCCUGUCAGCUGCCUCCUUCACUGGCAGAUACUGCAGGGCUUCCCACUCUCUUCAGCUUUUAAUUAACUUCCUAUUUGACAUAUCCAUGCCAGUUUUUAGCUGCCUAAUCUUGCUUCGUUUUCCCCAAAGAAUGUGCUUUGUCUGGGUUCUUUUUGGGAGGGAGGAGUAGCUUGGUCACCUCUCUGUUCUGGAAUUCACCGAGAAAUGUUCUAAUGGGUCUGACGACCUGGCUGUUAAACACAAAGACACCACACCUUUAACAUUUGCAAUAAAAGUCAUUCAACCC